rnacentral:lncRNA from 1 species
UCAUUUAAAGUAAAGAUGAAAGUUCUUAUUUAAGCAGUGAGCUCUUCCUCCCUGUGAGUCUCAAUGACAAUAUCUGAGGUGGGGUAAGCAACGCAGGUGAGAACAAAUCCUGCAUCAAUUUGGUCGUCAUCAAGGAAGCUACCAUCUGACUGGUCCAGUUUGCCACUCACAACUUUGGCAGCACAUGCAGAGCAAGAACCAGCCCUGCAUGAGUAGGGAAGAUCAAUGCCAUUUUCCUCUGCCUGAUCAAGAAUGUAUAUAUCAUCUGGGCAUUCAAAUUCUUGCUCUCCCUCUGGAGUUAUCAGCUUCACCUUGUAAGUUGCCAUGGCCCUCACACGACCUCCUCGUCCUCCUUUUACACCAAAGACAGCAGCGUUAGCCUUGAAGCUUGUCAUGUUCACUGAUGCCUGCCUCUUCAGGAAGGAGGUGUUCAACAUAGUGCCACACAAAGCGCCUGUGGUCGCCAUAUUCUCUCCUCUCUCUCUCUUGCUUCUUCUUCUUCUUCUUCUUCUGGUUGAUAGAUAGAUAAAUAGAUAACAACGAGGAGCUUGCAUGCUUCAUUAUAAUGAGUGAGCAGCGACAUGCAACCCUAUCUGCCACGUGCCAUUAUCUUAUGCUUCAAUCUAUCUGCCUCUUUCCUUUUCAGUAAAUCCGUCUCUCUAUUCGCACGGCAGAUUAUUCACGAUUCUGGUGGCUACGUACUAUCCUCAGUUCCUCACCAGUCACCACACGUACGUUAUACUUUAUGAACUAUUUACUGAAUCUUUUUUACAAUGUAAGAAUUUAACUUAUUUUUUGAUUGGUUUUUAGUGAAUUUUUUUUUAGUUACAUAGAAAUUAUGCUAAAAUAUGUUUUUUAUAAUAAAAUUAAAAAAUAUUUGAAUUUUAUUUCUAAAAAAAUUUUAAUAUGUCCUAACAUUAAAAAUUAUUUGUAGAUUAAAAAUUAUUUGUAGAUUAAAAAUCAUUAUAAAUUAUGAGGAAAAAAAAGAAUUUGUGAGGAUUUUUCUAUAAUUUGUAACAAUUUUUUAUAAUUUGUGAAUGCUUAUAAUCCUUAGAAAUAUAUCCUAGCCCCACAAACAAUAUAUCCUAACAACGUAGUCACUCUCCUUAAGACGGGUGUUUUUUUAAUGAAUAAAGUGUGGUCUCCGUGGCCUUGUUUGUAUCCUAAAGGUGUCACGACCUUGGUAAUUAAAUCUCUCAAACCAUACAUAUUCGGAGAAUUAUUUCAACUUGCAAAUAAAGCUGGCAGCAACUUCAUAGCAUGAGACCUCUAUAAUUUCCUCCUUAAGCUUCCAUGUAAUUAGAAAGCAUAAAUUGCAGGAAGAGAUAACAUUGCCCGAAUUGUUUUCAUCUUUACAACCAGAGCGAAUAUCUCUAAGUAAUCCAUCCCAUAUGUUUAAGGUCUCUAAGUAAUCUAUCUCAUAGGUUUCAAGGAAACCCUUAGCAACCAACCUCACCUUGUCCCUCCUACUUGCCUUAUAUAUUUUACUAUACUACAUAUAUUCAUUUGCAACCAAUCAAUUUCUUUCCUUUUGUUUUGGCAAAGAAAUCAACUCGAAUGAAUGUUUUGUUCUUCUCCAAUGUCUUCAUUUCUCCAAGGAGAGGAAGCAAAAGCUAACAGUCUUCUUGAUUUGUUUCAGGAUGUUUUAUUACUUCAGAACCAGUUGGAGUUCAGACUUCAGAGAGCAUAGACACACACAUAAGUAGUCGAGAAUGAAGAAUAUAUCAACCUUUUUUCAGAUACAAUUAGAUAUCAUCUCUAGUUCAGGUUAAAAAAAUUUUCCAUGUACAAUUUGUGUACUUUCUCCAAGCAUGGACACCAUAUCUUCUAGUCCAAUUUGUGACGGAUCGGAAGAAUUUUGGUUAUAUAUGCAAAUGCAAGCCACACGAAAGAGGAAAUAAAUUAAGGAUAUUGUUAUUCAAGAAUGAAGAUGACAUGGUACGUAGGUACUACAGUUGAAGUUGGUGAUAUGAUAAACAAGCAUAUAAAUGAAAAUGCAAGAUAGAAAGAGACAUGAGAUAUAGAACUAGAAUAGCUCAUCCUCCUGGUGGGUCUGAAUAACAACAUCUGAGGUGGGAUAAGCAACACAGGUGAGAACAAAUCCGUUACCGAUUUGGGUAUCAUCAAGGUAACUACCAUCAGAUUGGUCGACUUUGCCAGAAACAACUUUGCCGGCACAGGAAGAGCAAGCACCAGCCUUGCAUGAGUAGGGAAGGUCAAUGCCAAAUUCCUCAGCCUUUUCAAGAAUGAAAACAUCAUCUGGGCAUUCAAAUUCUUGUUCUCCUUCUGGGGUUAUCAGCUUCACAUUGUAACUUGCCAUCGCACUCACACGCCCUCCACGCCCUCCCUUUAAGCCAAAAACACCAGCAUUAGCCUUCAGCAUUCUCAUGUUCACUGAUGCCAUUGCCUGCUUCCUCAGGAACGAGGUGCUCAACAACACACUGCCACACAAACCGGGUGUGGUCGCCAUUCUCUCUCUCUCUGCAAUGCAAACACGAUAAGGAGCUUGUGGUGUGGGUGGAAAUAGUGUGCUUAAUUACAACUCACAUCUAACCCUAUCUGCCCCGUGCCAAUAUCUAUCUCUCUCUAUUUUCAACUCAGAGUACUAUUGGCUAUCUACCUGACACUAUCCUCACAGCUCACGCACAAGUUGCAGAUAUACUUUAUGAAUGCCAUUUAAUCAGAGUUUUUUUUUUUUUUUUUAACCACCUGUUCAUAAAGAUAAAAUGAAUUUUAUCUAAUAUGAAAUUUGAUUGAAAAUUAAAUAAAAUUUGAGGAAAAAAAUAUUUUCGUUAAGAAUCGAAUUACUCGAAUAUUACCCAAUUUAAUCAGAGUAUUAUUUACUCCUUUUUACUCUGUCAACAAGAAAAAUAACUCUUUGAUACCAUGUAGGAUUUAAAAACACUCUUCAAUUGUAACUCUAAUACUAAAAUCUAGUUUAAAUUUUAAUGGGUUUUAUUUUAUCUUUUCACUCGUAUAAUAACUCAUAUUUUCAUUUGGAAACAUGUUUAUAUAUAUAUAUAUAUUUAAGCAGGCUCUUUUUUUUUGUAGUUGUUUAUGUACACAAUUUCUAUAUGAACUCUACACGAAUUCAUUUAUUUUAGUGAUGUUUUCAACUUGCCUAAUUUUAAAGCCAACAUAAACAACUGCAUUAGAAUAACACUUAUGUGACUCUAUAUUAGUAUUGGUGAUAGAAGGAUUAUAAAUUUGAAAAUGCUACUACUAUAUUUUUUAAUUAUUUUUUUCAUAUACAAAAUUUAAAUUUAAAAACUUAUUUAAGAAGAUCGAGUAACAUUCCAUAAAUUAUAGAUACCUUAACAACAACAUAAUUUGUAUUUAAAUAAAAUUUACGUGAGUUUUAGUUUUAAAAAAAUACUUUAUAUAAAUCAUGGCACUAUCUUCUUCCUUCCCUUUUUGUCUGCAUGGUCCACCCAUCCUCCCCUCCUCAUUUGAGACUGAGACUUACGGACACGUCUUCUUCACAUUCUCUUCCCUCACUCACUCUUUAGACUAUUUUGCCCCCAAAAGUGGACAUGUGUCAAUUUUUUAGCUAGUCCAAUUUCGUAAAAUCACUGGCCUACUCUUUUAUACAUAUUAUGUUUAGAUUAAAAAGUAUAGUGCUAACAGUACGUGGUAUGCCAGCUGUCCCAUAUAUUUUUGCUGUUAUUCUUUCUUUUUUUCAUUUUGUCUCUAUUCAAGCCACGCGUAAAUAAUAUAGAAGGUCUAUUUUAAACUUUUAUAUAUAUUUUAUCAGGCAAGAAUCAAUCCAAAUAAUACAUUUUUUUGGUGCUCGUCAUAUUUGUACAGAUAUUAAUUUUAUUAAUGAUUAAUUUUUAUUAUUGAUUGAUUAUUUUUUAUGGAUUUUUUUAAUUAUAUUUUUUUCAUAUACAAAAUUUAAAUUUAAAAACUUAUUUAAAAAGAUCGAGUAACAUUUCAUAAAUUAUAAAUACCUUAACAACAACAUAAUUUAUAUUUAAAUAAAAUUUACAUGAGUUUUAGUUUUAAAAAAAUACUUAAUAUACAUCAUGAUACUUUCUUCUUUUCUCUCUUUUUCUGGCAUGACCCACUUAUCCUCUCCUCCUCAUUUGAGACUUAUGACACACAUUUUCUUCCCUCACUCACUCUUUAGAUUAUUUUGCCCCCAAAAAUAGACAUGUGUCAAUUUUUUAGCUAGUCCAAUUUAAUAAAAUAAGUGACAUACUCUUUUAUAUCUAUUUAUAUAGUCAAUUUUUUAGUUAGUUCAAUUUUGUAAAAUCACCUACCUACUCUUUUAUAUCUAUUAUUAGAUUAGAUGCUUCACUACUUAGGUUUUCAUUACUGAGGGAUUAUAAAAUUUCCACUAAUAAAAAAAUAACAAUUAACAACGUUUGCUAUAAAAAAGUAGUAUUAGCGACUUAUAAAAUUGUAUUGAGAAAAAAAAAAUCAAGCACGUUUGAAUACACGUUUGAAAAAGUUUCAUGUUGUUUUAUACUUCUCCAAGUUAUUAUUAAGUUUUCUAUAGGGUAAGCUUUAAAAAUUAUGUCCCCAUUUGUUUUAUAUAAAAUUCUAUUUCCCGACUCUUAAUUUCAAAAUUCUAUAAGUAAACCUAUGACUAUGAGUGGACUACUAUUGAACAAUUCGCAAAUUGGCUGACCAAACUACAUCGAAUGCAAUAUUUGCGAGACAAGUAAAUUAAUCUUCCAAUCACAUAUUGAUACAUUUACUUAUCCACGGCAGAAUUACCAUAGUAAAUUAAUCUUCCAAUCACUCUCCCCCGCAACCGUCCUUCAAUGGUGAAGGAGAGGAAACAAAAGCUAACACUCUUCUUGAUUUGUUUCAGAAAGCAUCAUCCAUUUAUGUUUCAUAUUUGAAAUUUUACUUCAGAACCAGUUGGAACUUAAUGGCAUAGGAUGUACAAAUCAUUUGUAAAUGCUCUGAAGAAUAGACAGAUAAGUAAUUGAGAAUGAAGAACCUGUACUGCGGAUACAACUAGAUAUAAUCUCUCUUUUUUAAGUGAUAUGAAGGUUAAAAAAAAAUUGGCCAUACAAUUUGUCUCCUAGCAUUAACAUUAUCUUCUAUAACAUGUUAAGAACGCAAAUAAGAAGCCCCAUAAGAACGCAGGUAAGAUGCAAGUUAGAAUGACUGAAAGGGUAUACCACAUUUAUAGUAUCAAGGAANNNNNNNNNNNNNNNNNNNNNNNNNNNNNNNNNNNNNNNNNNNNNNNNNNNNNNNNNNNNNNNNNNNNNNNNNNNNNNNNNNNNNNNNNNNNNNNNNNNNUAUGCUCAUGAUGCAUAAUAUGUUGGUGAGAAAGGAAGAAAGUUAAGCAGCAGAGAGGUCUUCCUCCUUGUGGGUUUCAAUGACAACGUCUGAGGUGGGGUAAGCAACACAGGUGAGAGUAAAUCCUGCUUCUAAUUGUUCAUCCUCAAGGAAGGUGGCAUCUGAAUUGUCAACUUUGCCAGAUACAACUUUGCCAGCACACACAGAGCAAGAACCAGCCCUGCAUGAGUAGGGAAGCUCAAGCCCUUCCUCC